rnacentral:rRNA from 1 species
UACGUAGGGGGGGCAAGCGUUAUCCGGAUUUACUGGGUGUAAAGGGAGCGCAGGCGGCGUGGCAAGUCAGAUGUGAAAACCCGGGGCCCAACCCCGGGAGUGCAUUUGAAACUGCCAUGCUGGAGUGCCGGAGAGGUAAGCGGAAUUCCUAGUGUAGCGGUGAAAUGCGUAGAUAUUAGGAGGAACACCAGUGGCGGAGGCGGCUUACUGGACGGUAACUGACGCUGAGGCUCGGAAAGCGUGGGGAGCAAACAGG